CCUACGGGCGGCAGCAGUGGGGAAUAUUGCACAAUGGGGGAAACCCAGAUGCAGCGACGCCGCGUGAGUGAAGAAGUAUUUCGGUAUGUAAAGCUCUAUCAGCAGGGAAGAAAAUGACGGUACCUGAUGAAGAAGCCCCGGCUAACUACGUGCCAGCAGCCGCAGUACUACGUAGGGGGCAAGCGUUAUCCGGAUUUACUGGGUGUAAAGGGAGCGUAGGCGGUGGCACAAGUCUGUAGUGAAAUGCCGGGGCUUAACCCCGGAACUGCUUGGGAAACUGUGCAGCUAGAGUGCAGGAGAGGCAAGUGGAAUGCGUAGUGUAGCGGUGAAAUGCGUAGAUAUUAGGAGGAACACCAGUGGCGAAGGCGGCUUACUGGACUGUAACUGACGUUGAGGCUCGAAAGCGUGGGGAGCAAACAGGAUUAGAUACCCCAGUAGUC
rnacentral:rRNA from 1 species